GUUUGAUCCUGGCUCAGAUUGAACGCUGGCGGCAUGCCUUACACAUGCAAGUCGAACGGCAGCACGGGAGCAAUCCUGGUGGCGAGUGGCGAACGGGUGAGUAAUGUAUCGGAACGUACCUUUCAGUGGGGGAUAACGUAGCGAAAGUUACGCUAAUACCGCAUAUUCUGUGAGCAGGAAAGCAGGGGAUCGCAAGACCUUGCGCUGAUUGAGCGGCCGAUAUCAGAUUAGCUAGUUGGUGAGGUAAAGGCUCACCAAGGCGACGAUCUGUAGCGGGUCUGAGAGGAUGAUCCGCCACACUGGAACUGAGACACGGUCCAGACUCCUACGGGAGGCAGCAGUGGGGAAUUUUUGGACAAUGGGCGCAAGCCUGAUCCAGCCAUGCCGCGUGAGUGAAGAAGGCCUCGG
rnacentral:rRNA from 1 species